AUUAUGCACCCACACUGA
rnacentral:snRNA from 1 species